rnacentral:rRNA from 1 species
UACGUAGGUGGCAAGCGUUAUCCGGAAUUAUUGGGCGUAAAGCGCGCGCAGGUGGUUUCUUAAGUCUGAUGUGAAAGCCCACGGCUCAACCGUGGAGGGUCAUUGGAAACUGGGAGACUUGAGUGCAGAAGAGGAAAGUGGAAUUCCAUGUGUAGCGGUGAAAUGCGUAGAGAUAUGGAGGAACACCAGUGGCGAAGGCGACUUUCUGGUCUGUAACUGACACUGAGGCGCGAAAGCGUGGGGAUCAAACAGG